rnacentral:hammerhead_ribozyme from 1 species
AUCCAGAUGACGCGUCCCGAAUAGAACGGAACGUGCGUCCAGGAU